rnacentral:rRNA from 1 species
GCCAGACUCCUACGGGAGGCAGCAGUGGGGAAUAUUGCACAAUGGGGGGAACCCUGAUGCAGCGACGCCGCGUGGGUGAAGGAGUAUUUCGGUAUGUAAAGCCCUAUCAGCAGGGAAGAACAAUGACGGUACCUGACUAAGAAGCACCGGCUAAAUACGUGCCAGCAGCCGCGGUAAUACGUAUGGUGCAAGCGUUAUCCGGAUUUACUGGGUGUAAAGGGAGCGCAGGCGGCACGGCAAGUCCGGUGUGAAAGCCCGGGGCCCAACCCCGGGACUGCACUGGAAACUGCCGGGCUGGAGUGUCGGAGGGGCAGGCGGAAUUCCUAGUGUAGCGGUGAAAUGCGUAGAUAUUAGGAGGAACACCGGUGGCGAAGGCGGCCUGCUGGACGACGACUGACGCUGAGGCUCGAAAGCGUGGGGAGCAAACAGGAUUAGAUACCCUUGUAA